rnacentral:tRNA from 1 species
UGUAAAUAAGUGUUUUAGCAUUUAAAUUUUUGAUAUUUAAGGUUUAGGUAAUUUCUAAAAUUUACAA